GAUGAACGCUAGCUACAGGCUUAACACAUGCAAGUCGCGGGGCAGCAUGGGGGUUGCUUGCAAUCCCCGAUGGCGACCGGCGCACGGGUGAGUAACGCGUAUCCAACCUGCCCUUCACCACGGGAUAACCCGGCGAAAGUCGGACUAAUACCGUAUGUUGUCCAUUGACGGCAUCCGAUUUGGACGAAAGGUUUGGCGGUGAAGGAUGGGGAUGCGUCCGAUUAGCUGGACGGCGGGGUGACGGCCCACCGUGGCGACGAUCGGUAGGGGUUCUGAGAGGAAGGUCCCCCACACUGGAACUGAGACACGGUCCAGACUCCUACGGGAGGCAGCAGUGAGGAAUAUUGGUCAAGGGGCGUAAGCCUGAACCAGCCAAGUAGCGUGCAGGAUGACGGCCCUAUGGGUUGUAAACUGCUUUUAUGCGGGGAUAAAGUGGCCCACGUGUGGGUUUUUGCAGGUACCGCAUGAAUAAAGACCGGCUAAUUCCGU
rnacentral:rRNA from 1 species